GAUGAAGAACGCAGCGAAAUGCGAUAAGUAAUGUGAAUUGCAGAAUUCAGUGAAUCAUCGAAUCUUUGAACGCACAUUGCGCCCGCUAGUAUUCUGGCGGGCAUGCCUGUCCGAGCGUCAUUUCAACCCUCAAGCCCCCGGGCUUGGUGCUGGGGAUCGGCGAGCCUCCGCGCCCGCCGUCCCCUAAAUCUAGUGGCGGUCUCGCUGUAGCUUCCUCUGCGUAGUAGCACACCUCGCACUGGGAAACAGCGCGGCCACGCCGUUAAACCCCCAACUUCUGAACGUUUGACCUCGGAUCAGGUAGGAAUACCCGCUGAACUUAAGCAUAUCAAUAAGCGGAGGA
rnacentral:misc_RNA from 1 species